rnacentral:rRNA from 1 species
GACGAACGCUGGCGGCGUGCUUAACACAUGCAAGUCGAACGGAAAGGCCCUGCUUUUGUGGGGUGCUCGAGUGGCGAACGGGUGAGUAACACGUGAGUAACCUGCCCUUGACUUUGGGAUAACUUCAGGAAACUGGGGCUAAUACCGGAUAGGAGCUCCUGCUGCAUGGUGGGGGUUGGAAAGUUUCGGCGGUUGGGGAUGGACUCGCGGCUUAUCAGCUUGUUGGUGGGGUAGUGGCUUACCAAGGCUUUGACGGGUAGCCGGCCUGAGAGGGUGACCGGCCACAUUGGGACUGAGGUACGGCCCAGACGCCUACGGGAGGCAGCAGUGGAGAAUAUUGCACAAUGGGCGGAAGCCUGAUGCAGCAACGCCGCGUGCGGGAUGACGGCCUUCGGGUUGUAAACCGCUUUCGCCUGUGACGAAGCGGGAGUGACGGUAAUGGGUAAAGAAGCACCGGCUAACUACGUG